UGCAAUCUGGAACCCCUGGGCUCAAGCGAUCCUCCUGCCUCAGCCCCCCAAGCAGCUGGGACUACAGGCGCGAGUCACCGUGCCGGGCUCAUACCGAUUCUUAAAAGCAGGAGAUAGUGCUUCUCGACCUUUUGGCUAAGAUCGAGUGCAAAAGCAGGAGAUAAAGUUCUCAUGUGAGGGAGGCCCUCCCUAUACUAGAAGGAAAGUAACAUCCUUAUCAUCAAGGAUGGGAAGUUGAGACCAAGAGAAUUCUGUGCAGACCUGGUUAAAAUAAUUCUUAUCUUCUUUUAGCCUCCCCACAUAAUUACUUUUUCACAACUGAUUAUGUUCAAUUCAGUAUGUAAGUGUGCAACACUAGCUGCUUUUCUGCCUUUGAUGCAUCUUAUAUCCAUUUAAUCUCAGGCCCAAGCAAAACACCCUGAGGGUGGAGAUCAAUUUCGCCUCCCCUGCGGGUGAGCUGCCAUCGGGGCACUGGGCUCUGUCACACCCGCAAGGCGUAAGGCCAGGCCCAGCAGCAAGCCGCCAUGGGAGGGAAGCCGCACCUCCAAGACCAGGUCCAGGCAGGGCCACAAGUCACCUGCACAAGCAGAUGGCUCAGACCUCGUGUCAUCUGCCCACUCCGGCCACACAAACAGCCACAAGGGCAGGGGAAAGUUUGCAUUUGGUUCACAGACGGCUCAGCCCAGCUUGUGCGUGAUGGCCAGAAAUCGACCACAGCUUCGUUCAGGGGCGGCCCUGAAAGCCAGCAGCACCAUAACCCUUCCCCGUGGAAAGAGCAGUGGUCCUCAGUUAGAACCUACGCAGGCUUGCCGGCAGCAAGAACUGGUGCCUCGAGGGCCUGGAAGAGAAAAAUUGGAAGAAUGAGACCAAGGAGGUCUGGGGAAGAGGCAUGUGGUGGGGCCUACAGUCACGGGCACAGAUGUGUGUCACAUUGGCCACAGGAAAGACACUAAAUAGCCAGUGGUCAGCGUGACUUUGCCAGCCUGCCACUGUCCACACGGGCACAUGGACAGAGCAGUCACAGUGGCGGGGUAGAGGCUCGGGCACAGGCUCCAAGGUGAUCCUGCCACUGCUGCCAUCAAAUGUCUAACCUGACAGCCACAGAGACCCACGCUGGGCCCCAAGAACUGCAACGUCCCUCGAGGACCCCACCUGCCUCUCAGUGGCUGGCUGACCAUUUUGACCCCUCCCACGCUAGAGGGAGCAGCAGUUCUCCCUGGGUGGCAUUCACCCAUGCGCUGGGCCUGGCUUUGCCUUUCCCAUCUGCAGAACGCGAUCCACCAGCACUCGAUCCCAUGCAGCGUCGUGACAGACCAAGGGAAUCACUUUACAGCAAAGGCAGGGGACCAAGUGGUCCCCGCUGCCACCACAGCCUCAGCCCCAGAGGCUGCCAGCUGGGCGGUGGCCACUGAAGGUGCAGGUGAAGCAUCAGCUGCGGAGGGCCUGGGAGCAGGGAUGCCAUUCCCCUAGAGGCGCCCUUAGUCCGUGGGCAGUGCGUGGUGCUGUGGCCCCCGAGAGGGAGGCAUAGUCUGGAAAUGGACAGGUGAGAGCCCGAGUGGCCCCAUGUACCGUCACUUCCAAGAAGCCACAUGGACAGCUUCAGUGUCCCACCCACAGCGCUGCAGUUUAGAGAUCCUGGAGUCCAGAGGAGGAAGCACCUCCACCUGUGACACCGUGAGAGUCCGUCACACCCUGAGCUGUGGCCGCUGUUCGGCUGCUCUGGGCUCCUUGUCCCGACAGACCCGCAGGAAAGAGCCCAAAAGAAUCUGGAGGAGCUGCUUCCAGAACUUAUCACAUGAAGCUAGCAAACUGAGCGGGGCACCCCGGAGGUAUCGGCCCUGAACCCCAGGACUAGAGACUCACUUUCCACCUGCCAUGGCUCAGGCUGACUCCCCUCUGGGACUCAGCCAGCGCCAUAGAGCAAGGAGCCCUCGUGGGUGUUGCCAGCCAACACUCUCGGCCCAGGUCCCAGCGGACAGCCAGCACCCACCCCCAGCUGUGUCAGUGAGCAAACUUUAGAAGAUUCCUGCCCCAGCCUUUGGCUGCCCCAGCUGAUGCCACAGGAGAGCAAAAUAAAGGCGGUGGCUGUUUCAAGCCCCCAAGCUUUGGGCUGUCUGUUAUGCAGCAGUGGGUAACUGGAGCACAAACACACAGACCCAGUCUCGGAGGACAGACUCCAACCCAGCUCUGCACAGCCUGUCGCCAAGCACAGUAUCUGGGACAGCCUAAAUCUGCCUUGCCUGUCAGGUGCUUAUUCUGCUGCUUUCGGAUGGAACAAAGUCAGUCCUGACCAGUGGCACUGAGCUCUAGACGUAUAGAUAAAUGGAAGUGCCAUCCAGGCAGGGGAAAUGAAGGAACGUGUCUCAUGAUGGCAUUUUGGCCACACCCUGGAGGGCAAGGAAGAGAAUUUCAAGAGCAAAAGGCAGCACAAGUCACAGAGACUAUGAGUUGGCCCUGUGGCCCCAGGGCCCUCUGACCAAUGCCAGCAUCCUCAGCUAAGGACUGGCAGUACUGACCCCAGAUCUCAGGCUUCCUGGGUGCCACUCUGGGCUGUAUCCCCUUUUCAUGCUGCCUGGAGGCCGCUCUCUGCUCUCCUGUCCCCAACCUGUGCUGGUGGGAGGGACUGGAUGCUGCCAUUUGUCCCCUGGAAUUGCUGUGCUCACCGUGAGUGAUUGCCACUGAACUGAGUGUUUUGCAUUCCUUCUCUCUCCAUUCUCCACCUUGACGCCUGUA